UUGAACGCUGGCGGCAUACCUUACACAUGCAAGUCGCACGGCAGCACGGGUGCUUGCACCUGGUGGCGAGUGGCGAACGGGUGAGUAAUACAUCGGAACAUGUCCUGUAGUGGGGGAUAGCCCGGCGAAAGCCGGAUUAAUACCGCAUACGAUCUACGGAUGAAAGCGGGGGACCUUCGGGCCUCGCGCUAUAGGGUUGGCCGAUGGCUGAUUAGCUAGUUGGUGGGGUAAAGGCCUACCAAGGCGACGAUCAGUAGCUGGUCUGAGAGGACGACCAGCCACACUGGGACUGAGACACGGCCCAGACUCCUACGGGAGGCAGCAGUGGGGAAUUUUGGACAAUGGGCGAAAGCCUGAUCCAGCAAUGCCGCGUGUGUGAAGAAGGCCUUCGGGUUGUAAAGCACUUUUGUCCGGAAAGAAAUCCUUGGCCCUAAUACGGUCGGGGGAUGACGGUACCGGAAGAAUAAGCACCGGCUAACUACGUG
rnacentral:rRNA from 1 species